rnacentral:rRNA from 1 species
CGCGGUAAUACGGAAGGUCCAGGCGUUAUCCGGAUUUAUUGGGUUUAAAGGGAGUGUAGGCGGUUUGUUAAGCGUGUUGUGAAAUUUAGAUGCUCAACAUUUAACUUGCAGCGCGAACUGGCGAACUUGAGUGCACACAACGUAUGCGGAAUUCAUGGUGUAGCGGUGAAAUGCUUAGAUAUCAUGAAGAACUCCGAUUGCGAAGGCAGCAUACGGAGUGUAACUGACGCUUAAGCUCGAAGGUGCGGGUAUCGAACAGGAUUAGAUACCCUGGUAGUCCGCACAGUAAACGAUGGAUGCCCGCUGUUAGCGCCUGGCGUUAGCGGCUAAGCGAAAGCAUUAAGCAUCCCACCUGGGGAGUACGCCGGCAACGGUGAAACUCAAAGGAAUUGACGGGGGCCCGCACAAGCAGGAGGAACAUGUGGUUUAAUUCGAUGAUACGCGAGGAACCUUACCCGGGCUUGAAUUGCAGAGGAAUUAUUUAGAGAUAAAUAUGCCCUUCGGGGUCUCUGUGAAGGUGCUGCAUGGUUGUCGUCAGCUCGUGCCGUGAGGUGUCGGCUUAAGUGCCAUAACGAGCGCAACCCCUUUUCUUAGUUGCCAUCAGGUAAUGCUGGGCACUCUGGGAACACUGCCACCGCAAGGUGUGAGGAAGGUGGGGAUGACGUCAAAUCAGCACGGCCCUUACGUCCGGGGCUACACACGUGUUACAAUGGCCGGUACAGAGGGACGGUGUAAUGCAAAUUGCAUCAAAUCUUAAAAGCCGGUCCCAGUUCGGACUGAGGUCUGCAACCCGACCUCACGAAGCUGGAUUCGCUAGUAAUCGCGCAUCAGCCAUGGCGCGGUGAAUACGUUCCCGGGCCUUGUACACACCGCCCGUCAAGCCAUGAAAGCCGGGGGUGCCUGAAGUUCGUAACCGUAAGGAGCGACCUAGGGCAAAACUGGUAAUUGGGGCUAAGUCGUAACAAGGUAGCCGUACCGGAAGGUGCGGCUGGAACACCU